rnacentral:rRNA from 1 species
AGAAUCAACGCUGGCGGCGUGCCUAACACAUGCAAGUCGAACGCGACUGAGGGCUUCGGUUCUCAGUUGAGUGGCGAACGGGUGAGUAACACGUGGGUGAUCUACCUUCGAGUGGGGGAUAACGUCCCGAAAGGGACGCUAAUACCGCAUGACGUUCUGGGUUUAAAGACCUGGAAACCAAAGCCGGGGACCGCAAGGCCUGGCGCUUGGAGAGGAGCCCGCGUCCGAUUAGCUAGUUGGCGGGUAACGGCCCACCAAGGCGACGAUC